rnacentral:rRNA from 1 species
GAACGAGAAAGUGGAGCAAUCCAUGAGUAAAGUGGCGACCGGGUGAGUAACACGUGACUAACCUACCUCCGAGUGGGGAAUAACUCCGGGAAACCGGGGCUAAUACCGCAUAACAUCGCAAGAUCAAAGCAGCAAUGCGCUUGGAGAGGGGGUCGCGGCUGAUUAGCUAGUUGGCGGGGUAACGGCCCACCAAGGCGAAGAUCGGUAUCCGGCCUGAGAGGGCGCACGGACACACUGGAACUGAAACACGGUCCAGACUCCUACGGGAGGCAGCAGUGGGGAAUUUUGCGCAAUGGGGGAAACCCUGACGCAGCAACGCCGCGUGGAGGAUGAAGUCCCUUGGGACGUAAACUCCUUUCGACCGGGACGAUUAUGACGGUACCGGUGGAAGAAGCCCCGGCUAACUUCGUG